rnacentral:misc_RNA from 1 species
GUGACACAGCAAGGGAAGCGAGUGGUAGUGUCGAGCGCGGGCCCGUCCCUUCUUUGUGCUGUGUUCAUUUCAGUGACCCGAGUAGUGUACAGUUUUCGUUACAGUUGAUCGGCCUGAGAAAAGUGCCUGUCUUUAAGAAGAAUAGUGAAGGAGAACGUAGCAACCGGACCCCCGCGUAUGCCUGUUAUGCUCGUGAAUGAGAGUGUGGGAAUCACGCCAGAAAGCUUAUUGUGGGUGUAACUAAGGGAGGGGGAGAUGCGUUAGUUCAGAGGGGGUGAGAGUGAGAGGGCAGCGUGGUAAGCAGAGAGAUUGGAAGAGAGGAGGGUGAUAAAAGAGAGGGAGAGAGAACGUGCGUAGAUGGUCUGUUGUCGGGAGAGCAGUUGCCAUUUGUUACUUUAUGAGUAAAUAUGCUUGUGUUUGGAUCUAACGAGACGUGCGUGUUAUUUUCACGGUCACCUGCUGUCAGUUUCUUGAGCGUCUAGCGUGUAAGGAAGUGAAUGGCUGAGGAAUAUCUGUCAUGGCUUUCAUUAAAUAAUUGCAGAAAGAUAGUGAAGGGGUUGUAAAUGAAUAUUUUUGGUUAAAUUUAACUGAUAGUGCAUUGCACAAUAGGAUUCAAUUAACUUUCAUCACAACAGGGGUAACUUAUAACGAACGUCACUCAGCGAAUUUUAUAGUUUGUCCGGGUUCAUGAGAUUUAUAAAUUUUGUCGUGUUUAGAUGCAAGAGCAGUGUGAAGAGGACAAGACCGCUAGCUAGUGGGUGUGCGGGCGCGUAGGUCUAGGUAGGUGGGUACGUGGCGGGCGUGCAAGAUGACUGAGCGAAGAGUGUUCGAGUGCCUGUGCUUGGAGCCCAGCAAGGGGGGCUACAGCUACGACUCCGCACUGUUAGUCGAUGUUGACCGCGCUUUCGACUUUGACGAAGCUGUAAUCCGGUUAACAACCAAAUGCAACUCCAUCGUGACUCAGUUUCGCACCUUGGGUCACCAUUUCUCUGAGUUCUCCGUCGCCGCCUCCAAGGUAGACGGAAGCAAGGCAGACUCACCCAACACGGGAAACAGACGGGGCAAGAAUGACAUAGACAGAAUGCAGAGUCCCUCCGGAAACCCCGAGACUCGAAAUCUGCGGCUCAUGGACUUCGAGUGGCGACGCCUCAAGAAGAAGCACUACUCGGGAAUGGUAGCUCUGGCUCGCGUCACCAGGUCCUCGAUACCCAGAAACGGCUCGGGGGGAAGGUACUCCGUCAAAGCCUUCACGGAGGUGGUCCUGAGCCACAUCCAGGCCUACUUCAUGUUCCAGUCCUUCUGCCCGGAGUUUGAACGCUGGAUGGUCGGGGAGGAAGGGACUCCGAGCUACGGGCCUGAGAGUGCCGAUGACGAGUAUCUGCUGUAUCUCGUGUACCGUCUUCGGGAUAAGAGUAUCCCUGCUAAGCCCACUACACCCACAUCGAGGAGGAAGUGGACGGAAGUGGACAGACUAGAAUUUGGCUGUUCGCUGGUUCCCCCCGACAGGCCGUUCGUGCCCAACGCGCCAAAGAGGAGGCGGCGACACACGUCCGGAGAGAGCAACACGAGCACCUGCAGCAGUACGAGCACGAGCAGCACGCCCAGCGGAGGCCCCUCGUACCUGACGCCGCCCACGAUGCGCCCAGCCCCGCACACCCCGGAAGGCACGUGGAGAGCUCGUACGAGGAGCAGCACGGGUAAGGCGCCAGUCUGAGAAGGAGGAGAGCUUCUGGUUCCAGUCAAAGAAGCAGAAGGAGGACCUCGUCAGGUUCCUCAAGGGAAAAUGAGCCUACUCGCUCUUCGCCACGAUUGCGUAACAGGGGACAAGAGUCAUUACCAGCAAA